UACGAAGGGAGCUAGCGUUGUUCGGAAUCACUGGGCGUAAAGCGCACGUAGGCGGAUUUGUCAGUCAGGGGUGAAAUCCCGGGGCUCAACCUCGGAACUGCCUUUGAUACAGCAAGUCUUGAGUUCGAGAGAGGUGGGUGGAAUUCCUAGUGUAGAGGUGAAAUUCGUAGAUAUUAGGAAGAACACCGGUGGCGAAGGCGGCCCACUGGUUCGAUACUGACGCUGAGGUGCGAAAGCGUGGGGAGCAAACAGG
rnacentral:rRNA from 1 species